AGAUCUGAAUGUUGCUCAGGGUAUAUGUAUGAUGUGAACUCUAGCAGUUGCGUUGCAUGUUGAAGUGGCUUUAUUGGGAAAUCUUGUGAAAUACCUUGUCUAUAUCCUUCGUUUGGAGAUUUAUGUCAACAAAGAUUUAGCUGUGCGAGAAAGAUUUGCAACAUUUCAAUUGGAUGUGUAGAUUUACAAAAUGUAGAAAGAAAGGAUUUUAACACGGAAGCAUUUUUGAUAUCCACACAACCCAAUUAUUCCCUAUUACGCACAGAGAGAAUUAAUGAAGGCGUCUCACUGACUGAUUUUACAGCACAAGUUCGAGCACGUUUCAAAGCGCAAGAAGAUAUAUCUUCAAUUCAAUCUCCAAAUGUUAUUCAAUACACCGAAUAAGCAUCAGAUUCAGGAAUCCGAAAUAAAGAGGUAAACGAGGCAAAUUGCCAGAAUCCCCUCCUUAUCGGUAUUUUCAGCUUUAAUGCAAUGUUCGUAAUAGUAGUGAUUGUCGUUGUGUUUUACUGUGGCUGUCAACGAAACAGAAAGAAAAUUAAACGAAAGAAAGACAACUCUGCCACUGCUGUCCACUAUCACGAAAUUGAUGAAAAUGCUAUUGAUACGAGUAGGGAUUAAUACCCUUUGUAUUGUAUACACGUGUCUGCAGAUCUUAACAUGCCAGAGACUAUUGAAAUAGACAAUAUCCUUGUUGAGUAUGCAAACGAAACUCUUAACAGAGAAGAGAAUAGUUCUGCAAUUUCAGAUUCACGAUACAGAUCGUUACAAACAUCACCAAAACAUUUCUUACAUGAUGAAGCUUUUUCUAGCCAUAUUUCUCCAGCUAUGAACGAUGUAAUUGUAGAUGUUAAUUAAAUAUCAAUGAGCGAAUAAUAUUUAAAUCUGUGUGUGACUUUUUAAAAACUGCCAUUUAAACUGUUACUGUUUUCCUUUUUCUUAUGGUUUUAUGUAAAUUGUUUUAAUUGAAUAAAGUAUACGUGCGAUAUGCUUAUUCCAAACAUACAAGGAAAUACAG